rnacentral:SRP_RNA from 1 species
CGCGCGGGUAGGGCUGGGAGGGUCGCCGCCUCCCCCACGGCCGGGGCGGCCGUGGCCGAAGGCGCAAGGCGGGGCCAGUAACCCGGAGCCAGCGCUACCAGCCGCCCGGAGAGCCCACGGCUACAAUGACCCCCGUCCCGCGGGGCUGGCGGGGCAGGAGGCGCCGCUGGAGAGCGGCGUCUACCGCCGAUACCGGGGGAACCUGGCCAGGCCCGGAAGGGAGCAACCUGGCCCCGGACGCCAGCGUUCGCGGGGGUGCGGGGUGAGGAACCGUGGGGUUUAACUCUCCGGGUGGCUGGGGUGCUGGUUGUCCGGGGGCCGCGCG